rnacentral:misc_RNA from 1 species
AAGUCGUAACAAGGUUUCCGUAGGUGAACCUGCGGAAGGAUCAUUAUCACGUAUCCACGUAUAAACCAUUGUGAACUGUAAAUUUAGCCUUUAGAGUGAGACCAAGAUAGUGUGUGAUUAACAUUAAGCGAUUUUUGUGAUUAAUCGUGUUAGUGAUGCCAUAGUUGUGUGCUUUCGGGCUCCUUCUAUACUUGCUUUCUCUGAAGUGUAUUAAUCACUAAUUAUUAACCAUUAUAACCCAUCUUUAUAACUUUGAACUAAUCAAUUUCCUACUCUUUCGGGAGAUGAAAUUAAAUACGAAACUAAAGAACAACUCUUAGCAACGGAUAUCUUGGUUCUCGUAACGAUGAAGAACGCGC